ACUCAAAGGAAUAGACGGGGGCCCGCACAAGCAGUGGAGUAUGUGGAUUAAUUCGACGCAACGCGAAGAACCUUACCAAGGUUUGACAUCCCAAGAAGUCUGUAGAAAUACGGAUGUGCCUUUCGGGGAACUUGGAGACAGGUGGUGCAUGGUUGUCGUCAGCUCGUGUCGUGAGAUGUUGGGUUAAGUCCCGCAACGAGCGCAACCCUUACGGUUAGUUGCUACGCAAGAGCACUCUAGCCGGACUGCCGUUGACAAAACGGAGGAAGGUGGGGACGACGUCAAAUCAUCAUGCCCCUUAUAUCUUGGGCUUCACACGUACUACAAUGGCGGUUAACAACGUGCAGCGACAUAGCGAUAUGAAGCGAAUCACUGAAAAGCCGCCUCAGUUCGGAUCGCAGGCUGAAACCCGCCUGCGUGAAGUCGGAAUUGCUAGUAAUCGCGGAUCAGCAUGCCGCGGUGAAUACGUUCCCGGGCCUUGUACACACCGCCCGU
rnacentral:rRNA from 1 species